ACCAGACUCCUACGGGAGGCAGCAGUGGGGGAUAUUGCACAAUGGGGGAAACCCUGAUGCAGCGACGCCGCGUGAGUGAAGAAGUAUUUCGGUAUGUAAAGCUCUAUCAGCAGGGAAGAAAAAAGACGGUACCUGACUAAGAAGCCCCGGCUAACUACGUGCCAGCAGCCGCGGUAAUACGUAGGGGGCAAGCGUUAUCCGGAUUUACUGGGUGUAAAGGGGGCGCAGACGGCAGCGCAAGCCAGGAGUGAAAGCCCGGGGCCCAACCCCGGGACUGCUCUUGGAACUGCGCGGCUGGAGUGCAGGAGGGGCAGGCGGAAUUCCUGGUGUAGCGGUGAAAUGCGUAGAUAUCAGGAGGAACACCGGUGGCGAAGGCGGCCUGCUGGACUGCGACUGACGUUGAGGCCCGAAAGCGUGGGGAGCAAACAGGAUUAGAUACCCCCGUAUG
rnacentral:rRNA from 1 species